rnacentral:lncRNA from 1 species
CCUGGAGGGUGCCCCUUCCCCACCGGAGCCUCUGCCCAGACCCUCAGCCCGGGGAGUCCACGCCCGCCCCUCCUGUCCCCAGAGCCCUCCUUUCUUCGCCGGGAGGCGGCCGAGCCCGACCCGCCCUUCCGCCGUGCGAACCUCACUCCUUCGUCUGCCAAACAGGCACCACGUCGUCUGCCUUUCAAGGCAUCGAGAGGCGACAAUCAGACGUUGGGGGCAGGGCCCACCACCCAGGGCGCAGCCUGGGCCACCCGAGCCCUCGAUGGACAUCAGCCACGGUGGCCGCAGCGGGGACAACCGGGCUGGGAAGGAGAAAAUCAAGCAGGGUGUCGAGGGUCCGGCCUCAGACGCGCCCACUUCUGGCGGGGAGCUGCGCUGGCCCCACUGAGGAGGCAGUGCUGAGGGCCGCGGCCACCCGCCGACGACGCGCCGGGGCCCGGCUCCUUGCCCACCCGCCCGGAGGAAGAACGCGGAGCGGAGCGGCGGGGGCCGGGCGGGCGGCCAGUUUCCAUGAUGCGCGGGGCGGGCUCGAGGAGGGGCGCUGCGGGCCGGCUUCCAGGCCCAGCGGCCCGGCCGGGCCCCUCGGGAAGAAUUUCCGGCCUGGGAUUGAUUAUAACCCGCCCCUCUCCUGGCCGCGGGACCCCCGGGCUCGCGGGGCAGAGGCGAGGGGGAUGGGCAAUAAUGAGACCCGGCUGUGCGCCCCAGCCGGGGACAAGACUCAAGGAAGUGAUGGGGAGGGGCCGGGUCCCCGAGCCGCUCAGCCCAGCCAGCCUCGAACCCGGCCUCCGGCUUUGUGCAGCCGACCGAAAGCAUCAGCGCCCCCGAAGGCCUUUCCGAGCCCCCGGGAACCAGGCAUCCUCGGGAGGGACCCAGGCCAACCCCAGACGGAGGUUCCUCCCGAGGACCGAGGGAGCACCAGCAGCCCCCAGGUGGCCACAGUGCGUGAGGCCGAAUCCCGCUUCCCCGGCUUCGCCCUGCGGCUCUAAGAGCCAGGUUAGGGCCCGGUUCCUGCCUCCUGAGGACUGAGUUGCGAAGAGCUCUCUGGCUUGCUCGCAGAGGCGCGGCCUCCCUCCUGCCUCCUGCCUCCUCCCUACUCUCAUCUCCUUCGCUUUCCUUUGCUCUGGACCACCCCCAGCGACCCACUCCCCACACACUGCCUCAACCACGCCCCCACUCCUGCCUCCGAACACGCGGCCCUGUCAGGGCUCACUGCUCUUCCUAGGGACACGAGUUCUGGGGGGAAAGCCUGGACCGUCUCCCGCCCUUGCCGACCUCUCCUCUGGUGAUGGCUGUACCACUUUCUCCUCCACCGGCUCCUGGGGCUCGUACCUUGGCUGGUUUCCUCUCUCCCUGGUGGUGGGAAUCUUCCACUUGGGCCACAAGCCCAGCUUCACUCUCAGCAGCUAGACACCUCUCUGGCCCCGUGGUGACCAUCCCCUGUCCCACUCCUUCCCUGUCUCCCCUUCACAAAGUCCCACUGUCACCAGAGUACACUGGUACACUAGGUCACCUUAGGCUGCUGCUGUUUUGUUUAGUUUGCAAUUAUUAUUGCUGUUUUUCCAUGUACAUGACAGUAGAGUGUAUUCUGACAUAUUAGUAUCACUUACUCCUAUUAGAAUCAGGCUGCUUCUCCCCCACCCCUUCAUCCAGCAGUCCAUCAAGUCUUGGAGACUGCCAUUUUCAUCUGGAAUCAACCUCUUAUCCCUUCCCCAUGGCCAUGCUCCUGGUCCAGGCCACCCAUCUGGUCCGGGCCAUCAACCUCCUCUGCCUGGAGAAGGCAUAGUCUUGCCACCUCCUAAUCCCUUCUACCCUUCUGCAGACAGGCACCCAGCAUCUUUCUACCCUGAAUCUGACCCUGUAAUUACCUACUUAAAACCCUCAGUGGCUCCCUGUGUUGUCCAGAUGCAGUUUAAAAUUCCUUCUUGUCUCACAAACUGGCCCUUGGACCUCUCACACUGCUCUCUCCUGGGUGGCUGAGCUUCUUUCUGUCUGUCCCCAGACCCUCUGUGCUCUGGCUUCCAGGCUUGGCAGGAUUCUGGCUGUCAGGAGCAUCUAUUUCCCUUGCCACCACCUCCUCCUCCUUCAGAGCUAUGGGCCUUCUCCUAGCCCCUAGGCCAGGCUAGCCCCUCCUUCACCCUUCAUGACAUGUCCUCAUGUACCAGAAACUUCCCUGUGCACAGCACAGAUGAACUGAAACCAUCAUUUUCAAUUGAGUCCAUUUGUUGUCUGUGGCCAUGACAGGUUGGUCUUGCUUAUCUCUGAAGCCCUGUGCCCAGCAUGAUGUCUGCUCACCGCUGGCCCUCUCCCCCUUGUUAGAGGAAUGUGUGCAAGGCCUGUCUCUCUUACUCUGGGACCCUUUCC